UACGUAGGGUGCAAGCGUUGUCCGGAAUUAUUGGGUGUAAAGAGCUCGUAGGCGGUUUGUCGCGUCUGCUGUGAAAACUCGGGGCUUAACUCCGGGCCUGCAGUGGGUACGGGCAGACUAGAGUGCGGUAGGGGAGACUGGAAUUCCUGGUGUAGCGGUGAAAUGCGCAGAUAUCAGGAGGAACACCGGUGGCGAAGGCGGUUCUCUGGGCAUGUCCUGACGCUGAGGAGCGAAAGUGUGGGGAGCGAACAGG
rnacentral:rRNA from 1 species